CCCUGGGUGGCAAAAACCAUUAAUGCACUUGGCUGUUACCCAAAAAGUUGGAGGUUCAAGUCCACCCAGAGGCA
rnacentral:tRNA from 1 species